GUUAUAGCAAAAUACAACAUUUCAUAAAGACAUAUUCAAAAACCCGUUGUAAAACAAUGUAUGCUUUGGCCAGGCACGUUCAUAAACACGGCCCGCCUGCGCAGGGCACGUGACUAUCGGGCCUACAUGAGGGGGGAACACGGGGCUCCCCUGCCAGAUGUUGGCCGGUUCCGGGGCUUCACGCAAGCGUCCUUCACCCCUCACCAAUUUUGCUUCUCCCCAAAACGCAUCUGCAGGAUUUGGAAACACCCGCCUCAUAUACCCCGGCUCUGAAAUGAGCCUCAUGAUCAUGCUUCAAAUAUCAUUUUCAUAAAGUAUGCAUAUGAAACCGUGCCCCCGGCAUAUGCCGUGGUCCAUUCUCUCGGAUGCUACUGCGAAGUCCAUUCGGCCACUGGCGGGGCCAGCUAGUCAUUCUCGGCCACUAGCAAGGCCAGCUCAGUUGCAUUCGAUCAGUAGCAUCUUUGAGCCCAUUAUAGUGCCUCUUGGCUAGAUAGUAUUUCGUUAUACUAACUUGCAUGCAUGAUUAAAAUAUAAGUAUAAUCAUGGUGCAUACAUGGCCAUAGUUUAUGAGAUUAGGCAAGUUACUUAUCCAUCAUAACAUAUCAUGCAUAAAUAACACUUUAAAAACUUAACAAACAUAGUACUCAUAUGAUCCACAAUAAGAUUAAAAUAGAUUACUUACUUUCUUCACAAAUCAUGUAUACAAUUCAAAUUGUAUGAAGAACACUGGUUCAUCUUAUAAAAAGUAAUACAAGAUCUACGAUAAGAUUAA
rnacentral:lncRNA from 1 species